rnacentral:rRNA from 1 species
GACGAACGCUGGCGGCGUGCCUAAUACAUGCAAGUCGAACGCAGUGGGGACGGGUGAGUAACACGUGGGUAACCUCCCAUCAGAGGGGAUAACACUUGGAAACAGGUGCUAAACCGAUACUGAUGGAUGGACCCGCGGUGCAUUAGCUAGUUGGUGAGGUAACGGCUCACCAAGGCCACGAUGCAUAGCCGACCUGAGAGGGGGAUCGGCCAAACGGGGACGGGGACACGGCCCGGACUCCUCCGGGAGGAAGCAGUAGGGAAUCUUCGGCAAUGGAGGAAAGCCGGACCGGGCAACGCCGCGUAAGUGAAGAAGGUUUUGGGAUCGUAAGACCCUGUUGUUAGAGAAGCGGUAUCUAACCAGAAAGCCACGGCUAACUACGUGCCAGCAGCCGCGGUAAUUC